rnacentral:rRNA from 1 species
UACGUAGGGUGCGAGCGUUAAUCGGAAUUACUGGGCGUAAAGCGUGCGCAGGCGGUUCGUUGUGUCGGCGGUGAAAGCCCCGGGCUCAACCUGGGAAUUGCAUUUGAGACUGCUCUGCUCGGGUGCGGAAGAGGGGAGCGGAAUUUCCGGUGUAGCGGUGAAAUGCGUAGAUAUCGGAAGGAACACCAGUGGCGAAAGCGGCUUCCUGGUCCGACACCGACGUUCAGGCACGAAAGCGUGGGGAGCAAACAGG